GGGACACGUGGUAUCCUGUCUGAAUAUGGGGGGACCAUCCUCCAAGGCUAAAUACUCCUGACUGACCGAUAGUGAACCAGUACCGUGAGGGAAAGGCGAAAAGAACCCCGGCGAGGGGAGUGAAAAAGAACCUGAAACCGUGUACGUACAAGCAGUGGGAGCACCUUCGGGUGUGACUGCGUACCUUUUGUAUAAUGGGUCAGCGACUUAUAUUCUGUAGCAAGGUUAACCGUAUAGGGGAGCCGCAGGGAAACCGAGUCUUAACUGGGCGUUAAGUUGCAGGGUAUAGACCCGAAACCCGGUGAUCUAGCCAUGGGCAGGUUGAAGGUUGGGUAACACUAACUGGAGGACCGAACCGACUAAUGUUGAAAAAUUAGCGGAUGACUUGUGGCUGGGGGUGAAAGGCCAAUCAAACCGGGAGAUAGCUGGUUCUCCCCGAAAGCUAUUUAGGUAGCGCCUCGUGAACUCAUCUUCGGGGGUAGAGCACUGUUUCGGCUAGGGGGUCAUCCCGACUUACCAACCCGAUGCAAACUACGAAUACCGAAGAAUGUUAUCACGGGAGACACACGGCGGGUGCUAACGUCCGUCGUGAAGAGGGAAACAACCCAGACCGCCAGCUAAGGUCCCAAAGUCAUGGUUAAGUGGGAAACGAUGUGGGAAGGCACAGACAGCCAGGAUGUUGGCUUAGAAGCAGCCAUCAUUUAAAGAAAGCGUAAUAGCUCACUGGUCGAGUCGGCCUGCGCGGAAGAUGUAACGGGGCUAAACCAUGCACCGAAGCUGCGGCAGCGACACUAUGUGUUGUUGGGUAGGGGAGCGUUCUGUAAGCCUGCGAAGGUGUGCUGUGAGGCAUGCUGGAGGUAUCAGAAGUGCGAAUGCUGACAUAAGUAACGAUAAAGCGGGUGAAAAGCCCGCUCGCCGGAAGACCAAGGGUUCCUGUCCAACGUUAAUCGGGGCAGGGUGAGUCGACCCCUAAGGCGAGGCCGAAAGGCGUAGUCGAUGGGAAACAGGUUAAUAUUCCUGUACUUGGUGUUACUGCGAAGGGGGGACGGAGAAGGCUAUGUUAGCCGGGCGACGGUUGUCCCGGUUUAAGCAUGUAGGCUGGUUGUCCAGGCAAAUCCGGAUAAUCAAGGCUGAGGUGUGAUGACGAGGCACUACGGUGCUGAAGUAACAAAUGCCCUGCUUCCAGGAAAAGCCUCUAAGCAUCAGGUAACAUCAAAUCGUACCCCAAACCGACACAGGUGGUCAGGUAGAGAAUACCAAGGCGCUUGAGAGAACUCGGGUGAAGGAACUAGGCAAAAUGGUGCCGUAACUUCGGGAGAAGG
rnacentral:rRNA from 2 species